rnacentral:rRNA from 1 species
CACGUAGGUAACGUACCCUAGGGAGGGGGACAACAGGUGGAAACGCCUGCUAAUACCCCGGAUGUCACUUCGGUGACUAAAGCUCCGGCGCCCUAGGAGUGGCCUGCGGUCCAUCAGCUAGUUGGUAAGGUAAAGGCUUACCAAGGCAAAGACGGAUAGGGGACGUGAGAGCGUGGACCCCCACAUUGGUACUGAUACACGGACCAAACUAACCUACGGGUAGGCAGCAGCGAGGAAUAUUGCGCAAUGGGGGCGAACCCUCGACGCAGCAACAACCGCGUGGAGGAAGAAGGUUUUCGG